CCUCUGUUUAUAUGCACAUAUGUCUUGUCUAACCUCAUUACUGUUUGUCUGGUUGUUGACGUCUUUCCAUCAAAAGUCGAAACAUUUAAAUUGGUCGGUUGUUCUUCUUUUCAUCAGUCAUUUGGCCAUAACAAAACUUCUUCACCUGUAUACCAAGGCCUAUGAUGUGCCUUCUUUAUCCAAGUGGCCUUUACCUACCAAGUACCUGUAUUACCACAUGAUGUGGAAGAUCUUUUGAAACAGCAGGACAAGUCGGUGUUGCCAAGGCAGUAUUAUCGUAAGAUUAUACAAAGUUUAUUUGAAGACAUGAUACAAUUUACUCUAUAUCCAACAACAGCUGAGUAUACUGGGGUAGCCAGAGCUAGUUACCAAAUUUAAGAUCUUAGAAGAUAAAUCUGGAAAUUCAACAGGACAUGUAAGCCAUGUUAAAAAUUUUACAUACUGAAAAGACAGAUUACAGCAAAAAAAAAAAAUUUGAGUCAAAUUCUGGGGUAGAUUAAGGGUGAUUUCAAGCAUGAUGUCAUCAAGGUAUUUAGACUUUGUGUAUCAGAACAUACAGUACAUUGUAAUAAUGAUUAAGUACCGUAGCUACUGCCAUUUAGUA